UCGGGGCAGGAGCGCUCCGAGCCGGGCGCGUGGCCUGAGUUCAGGACUGUAAGGCGGUCGCCACGGAGCCCCGCGCGGGGUCACCCGAGGCCACCUGAGGACUUGGAGUCCUGCAGCUCCUGGGGGCAGCCGCCGGCGGGACCUAGUGGGCUCCCGCGGUGCCGAACUGGGCGCGCAUCCAGGGCAGCGCGAGGCCCCCCUUAAGUUCCUGGGGACUCGGCCUUGCCGGGGCUGUCUCAGCCCGGAGUCGGUCCCGCAGCGCUGCCGCCGACUUCCCUGUGCCAACUGACCCCACACGGAGGAAUGGCGCUGCUGCGGCCUAUCCUUCGCUCCCCUCUAGGUGUCGCUUCCGCCGAGGUUUCGGAAGAGUGAAAAACAGCGCCAGUAGCUUUCGUCCCUUUCCUGAGUAAAUCUGCGGCAAGUGUGUGCACCAGGGACCGUGCUAGAUGGAGCCCUGAGACACCAGCGGCCGUCCACGUUCUCCAGGCCAAACACAAACAGGAUUUCAAUAGGAGGCAGCAAGGCCCAGACAUUGCCACUCUCCCCCAAGACUUCAGACUGCGCCAGCGGUCAUGCAAGAAGACAGUCCACCUGCUGUCAUGUAGCAAGACUUGCCCCACUGGCUUGUGUUCCCUCGUAGAAUUGUAUUGACAUCCUCAAUUUCUGGUAAUUCCAGGAAGGCUGUUUUCCCCCUCCAGAGAAGCGGUGGUUUGUUUUGGUGGGCACUGGGAGAAGACACCCCCCUGGCCGUGCCCGCUGGAGGCUUAGGCUGGACUCCUACACUGACCAUCCCUCGGUGGUCUCCUCCUCCUCGGGACUGGAAGAGUCUAACAAGUGACCUUGUGUUGUGGUCUUUUGUUUGAUUUAGCACAGCCCAGAGCCUGGCAUCAAACAGCCAGAACUUCAGAAAAAUCUUAGUUCCUACCUUGUCGGUCUUGGGAUACUUUUUCUGUAUGUUCAGCUUUCUUGUGUUGCUUCUCGGGGGGGGGGGUCAAUCGUGUGCUUGCUAACAAUGAAAUUUCAAGAGCAUAUCUUUGCUUACAUUUUCUGCCUCUUAAUGUACCACACAAGGCAUGGACCGUCAAACAAAAUUAUAUAAAAGAAAUGUACUAAAGCGUUAUAUUCUGCAGGUUGCAAGGAUAAGGGUGAUUGGAAGCAGAGGUGUGUGUUAAACUUUGUGGUAAAUAAGAAUGUCCAUAUUAUACAUAGAAUGAUGUAUGCCUCGCAUGUAUCAGUGUUGGGAAAGGCAGAGUAGAUAAUGAACAGCAAAUGCAAUGUAACUUCAUUGUGGCUUGCUGCAAGAUUAACCUAAUAUAUUUUCAUGACUGUUUUCCCCAGGUUGGCAUUUUAGGAAACGGAACCAUUUUCUUUUUUCCUAAAACACCCAUAAAUUAAAAUUAGGGUCCUAAUUGUUUCAGAAGAAUGGACAUCCAGUCUUCUGGUCUGGGGUCCAGGUUGUGUCGUGCUCUUCUCUCCUGUUCCCCUUAGCAUUGGGUGGACGUGCAGAAGAGGACAGCAGGGUUUGGAUGCUUCCCGCUGAUCUCUGAUUGCCAGCCUGCCAUGUUGUGUACAGUGCAGCCCACUUCAGGGGGUUUGCGAGAGCAGUUUUUCAGUCAGAAGGGUUAGGCCUGUAAGGCCUCAGGAUCACCGGAUCACAAAUCGUACUGCUCUCCGCAGAUAUCAGACAGUGUCCCUCCUUUCCCCCACACCAUCUGUAACUUCUAGUCCUUUUGACUACAGAGAAGAGCCACUUAUUUGUGGCUAAUCCAGAUGACUGGCCUGGUACUGUCACUGAGUUCUGGAAGAGAAGUCGAGAGAGAACAUUGGUGAACAGUGUGCCCGAAUCGCUGAGAGCCAGAAUCCCCGCUGCUCCCAACCGAGCUGGUUCUGGCAUAGAAAAGAGAGGCCCUAACUAUGUCCCAGCUUCUCCCUGGUUCUGAC
rnacentral:lncRNA from 1 species